ACGACAGCCCUGGAACCUGAUAUCCUCUAUUAAGCCACAAAGCAAGUGCAGCACCAGAAGGAGCAGUGACCACGCUGUCCCACCAAUAUCUCUCAACCCUUGAGCUGGAGGGGGCCACCUCCAAGGAUGAGAGAGGUAGUUCAGUCUCUAGGCCAGUUCAUUCCUUAGUCUUU
rnacentral:sRNA from 1 species